AUGCUUGCUUCGGCAGCACAUACACUAAAAUUGGAAUUAUACAGAGAAGAUAAGCAUGGCCUCUGCGCAAGGAUGACACGCAAAUCCAUGAAGCGUUCCAUAUUUUU